rnacentral:sRNA from 1 species
GCUGGGUGUGAUGGUGCAAACCUGUAAUCUCAGCUACUCAGUAGCUGAGGUAGGAGGAUGGCAUGUUCUGGGUCAGCCUGGGAAAUUUAGUGACACACUCAGCAACAUGGUAAAUUCCUGUCUUAA